GACACGGGGACAGACACAGGGACGGGGACAGGGACAGACACGGGGACAGAUGUCUCAAGGGGUAGGGGUGACGCUGGGCCCCCCCACUGGAUCCUUGUGGAUCCUCGUGGCCAUGAGCUCACAUCCUGCGCCCGGGAUUUUGUGGCCGAAAUCUCGGGAAUGGGGGAAAGGCGAAGUGCCUGCUCAGCAAGGAGCCUUACCAGCCCUAAUUGGGAACAAAUGUUCCCCUCCAGCUCGCCAAAGAGGCUCCUCCACGCUGCGCCACGGGGCCACCGCGGUGUCCCCGGGGUGUCCUGGGGAGAGGGGACAUCCCUGGGGACAGCCGGUGCCUGGGGGGGAGAGCGGUCAGCACAGGGUGGCAGCGGGGCACAACCCCUAUCAGCCAGCAGAGAAUCCCCAUCCCCUGCCCUACAGGAGGUGGUGGGGCCCUUCCAGCCCUCCCCAUCCCAAAAGUGACCCCGGACACCGGUGGUCCCCAGCUGCGUCCCCUUCGUGGUGAGGCUGGAAGCGUCCCCGUGCCCAGCUGUGCUUCCUCCUCCUCCUCCUCCUCCUCCUCCUCCUCUUUUUUGGGUGGUGGCCCCCCCAAAACCUCCUGCCCCCCGCUGCCACCCCCAAGCACCCCGCAGAGGGAGGGACAUCCCCGUCCCGGGGGGGGUGGGCAGACCCAGGGUACCCCACAGGGACAGGGAUGUCCCCAUUUAGGGCCAAAUCCCAACCCCAAGCAUCGCCCAGGGAUGUGGAUGUUCCCUUCCUGGGGGCGUCACGACCCCAAGAACCCCCCAGGGACACCGAUGUCCCCACCCCAAGCAGCUCCAGGCCCUGAGCACCCCUGGGGGGCACGCAGACCCCCCCCCAACCUGGGGCACCCUGCACACCACAGGGGUUUUGGGGUUUUGGGUUGUCCCACUGAGCCCUGCCAGAUUGCCACGGGGACCAGGGGACGGGGGGCACAGCAGGGAAACCCACAGGAGAGCCUCGGGGAGGAAGAGGAGAGCGAGGGCAGGGAGGAAGGCCACGCUCCGACCCCACGUCCCAUGGGACCGACACCGGGGAGGCCCCGGAGGAGGAAAAAUCUCAGCACGUCUGGCUGCAAAUUAGGUGGAAAAACGACACUUUUGGGGACCCCUGCG
rnacentral:lncRNA from 1 species